rnacentral:rRNA from 1 species
AACGAACGCUGGCGGCAUGCCUAACACAUGCAAGUCGAACGAGACCUUCGGGUCUAGUGGCGCACGGGUGCGUAACGCGUGGGAACCUGCCCUUAGGUUCGGAAUAACUCCCCGAAAGGGGUGCUAAUACCGGAUAAUGUCUUCGGACCAAAGAUUUAUCGCCUUUGGAUGGGCCCGCGUUGGAUUCGCUAGUUGGUAGGGUAAAAGCCUACCAAGGCGACGAUCCAUAGCUGGUCUGAGAGGAUGAUCAGCCACACUGGGACUGAGACACGGCCCAGACUCCUACGGGAGGCAGCAGUGGGGAAUAUUGGACAAUGGGCGGAAGCCUGAUCCAGCAAUGCCGCGUGAGUGAUGAAGGCCGGAGGGUUGUAAAGCUCUUUUACCCGGGAUGAUAAUGACAGUACCGGGAGAAUAAGCUCCGGCUAACUCCGUG